rnacentral:rRNA from 1 species
UACGUAGGGCGCAAGCGUUAUCCGGAAUUAUUGGGCGUAAAGCGCGUGUAGGCGGCAUGGCAAGUCGGGUGUGAAAUCCCUCAGCUUAACUGAGGAAGUGCGCCCGAAACUGCUUUGCUUGAGUGCCGGAGAGGAUGGCGGAAUUCCCCAAGUAGAGGUGAAAUUCGUAGAUAUGGGGAGGAACACCGGUGGCGAAGGCGGCCAUCUGGACGGUAACUGACGCUGAGACGCGAAAGCGUGGGGAGCAAACAGG